UUUCCGUAGGUGAACCUGCGGAAGGAUCAUUACUGAGUGAGGGCCCUCUGGGUCCAACCUCCCACCCGUGUUUAUUGUACCUUGUUGCUUCGGUGCGCCCGCCUCACGGCCGCCGGGGGGCUUCUGCCCCCGGGUCCGCGCGCACCGGAGACACCAUUGAACUCUGUCUGAAGAUUGCAGUCUGAGCAUAAACUAGAUAAGUUAAAACUUUCAACAACGGAUCUCUUGGUUCCG
rnacentral:misc_RNA from 1 species